CGAAAUGCGAUAAGUAAUGUGAAUUGCAGAAUUCAGUGAAUCAUCGAAUCUUUGAACGCACAUUGCGCCCGCCAGUAUUCUGGCGGGCAUGCCUGUUCGAGCGUCAUUUCAACCAUCAAGCCCCCCGGCUUGUGUUGGGGACCUGCGGCUGCCCGCAGGCCCUGAAAAACAGUGGCGGGCUCGCUGUCACACCGAGCGUAGUAGCAUACAUUCUCGCUCAGGGCGUGCUGCGGGUUCCGGCCGUUAAACGACCUUCAUAACCCAAGGUUGACCUCGGAUCAGGUAGGAAGACCCGCUGAACUUAAGC
rnacentral:misc_RNA from 1 species